UUUAGGAAAAUGGUAUUUGAGAGCACAAAACACAAAGUAUAAAAGCUUCAUGUUCGUACGUGCAACAACACACACACAUGCACACAACAAACAUACACAAAUCUCACCACAUAGCGACAACAUCUCCCUCCUUUCUCCCUCGCCACACAACAACAGCAUCUUCUUGGGUCUCUCUCUCCCGCCUCCACGCAAGGUCAAUCUCAGCUCUAUUUUGUUUCACCUCACAGUAACAGUGAUAGCUUUAUCUGUCUCUCGUCUCAAGCAUCUUGUUCCCUCACUCGCUCGGUCUUGUCAAUUUGUUUCAGUAUAUUUUCCAUUCCUCAAGUUACAGAGGUAUUGUAUACAUUUAUAGAGAGAUUUGCUACGUUAUUUUUGGGCUAUACAGAUUUUUAGUGCUAGAAUAUUCCUGAAAUCUCUCUGAUUUGGUUAACUCCUAUAAUCUCUCUGAUUUAUCUCUUAAUUUACAACUCACGCCAACACUCCCCCUCAAGUGCAAGCAUCCAAAUCUUCAAUGCGCAACUUGUCUAGUGAGUUGUAAAACUCUCUGCUUGAUACGGCCUUUGUAAGAAUAUCCGCUAGUUGAUCUUCGGACUUCACAAAUGGAAACUGAAUUAUUUUAGCUUCGAGAUUUUCUCUAAUAAAAUGUCUAUCAAUCUCCACGUGUUUAGUGCGAUCAUGUUGGAUAGGAUUAUGAGCAAUAGCAAUCACUGCUUUGUUAUCACAAAAGAGUUUCAUUUCACUGAUAGGUGCAAAGCCAAUUUCUGUUAGAAGUCUUCUCAGCCAUAGAAGUUCACAAAGUCCUUUAGCCAUUCCACGGAACUCUGCUUCAGCACUUGACAGUGCCACCACCUUUUGCUUCUUACUCCUCCAUGUAACAAGAUUUCCCCCAACAAACAUGAAGUAGCCUGAGGUGGAUCUUCUGUCUAUGGUGUUCCCUGCCCAAUCUGCGUCUAUAUAACCAUUAACUCUGAGGUGGUUAUUCUUUGCAAACAUAAGUCCUUUUCCUGGAGAGGAUUUUAAGUAUCGCAAAAUCCGUAUUACUGCUUCCAUAUGAUCCUUACUCGGUUGAUGCAUAAAUUGGCUUACAAUACUCACUGCAUAAGCAAUAUCAGGACGGGUAUGCGAGAGGUAAAUCAGUUUCCCAACUAACCUCUGGUAUCUUCCUUUAUCAGUUGGCACUUGAUUUAGAUGUUCUCCGAGCCUGUGAUUCUGAACAAUUGGAGUGUCUGCUGGCUUACACUCCAGCAUUCCAACCUCACAAAGUAAGUCUAGUAUAUAUUUUUGCUGAGAUAAGAAUAUACCUUUCUUUGAUCUAGCAACUUCUAUUCCCAGGAAAUAUUUAAGUCCUCCCAGAUUUUUCAUCUCAAAUUCGAUUGCCAAUUGUUUCUGAAGUUUAUCCAUUUCCUCUGUAUCAUCCCCUGUAAUGAUCAUGUCAUCAAUGUAUACAAUUAAAGCUGUUACCUUGCCCCGUUGAUGCUUUAAAAAUAAUGUAUGAUUUGAAUUGCUUUGGCAGAAGCCAUACUUUUUCAUUGCUUGACUGAACUGUCCAAACCAUGCUCGAGGUGAUUGUUUCAGUCCAUACAAUGCACACUGCAACUUGCAUACUACUUCAGUUUUUGAAGAUGCUGUGUAACCUGGAGGAGUGUCCAUGUAGACUUCCUCUUCAAGAUCACCAUGGAGAAAGGCGUUCUUUACAUCCAACUGAUGUAAUGGCCAAUCAAGGUUGGCUGCGAGUGAUAGCAAAACCCUGACUGUAUUUAGUUUAGCCACUGGUGAAAAAGUUUCUUGGUAAUCUACGCCAUAUGUCUGGGUGUAUCCUUUUGCAACUAGCCUCGCCUUAUAUCGUUCUAUAGAUCCAUCUGCCUUAUGUUUAACUGAGAAGACCCACCUGCACCCGACUGUCUUCUUCUCUUGGGGUAGUGGGACCAAGGUCCAUGUUUGAUUCUUUAAUAGUGCGCCCAUUUCUUCCUCUAUUGCUUUAGUCCACUUAGGAUCCAUUAAUGCCUCCUGAACUGUAGUAGGAAUAUGGCAUGCAGAGAGCUCCUGUGAAAAACUCUUGAGUGGCUCAGGCAAUUUUUCAGUGGAAACAUAGUUGGCAAUUGGAUACCUCGACCUUCUUUCCUCCAUUUCUGGGGAGUAUCUGUUUGGUGGUUUGCCCCGGUUUUGCCUGAAAGGUAAGUUAUACCCAGUAUCUAUAGCAUUGAUAAUUGAGGGUGUGCCAAUAUUUAGGGAUGGCAAUGGGGAGGGGAGGGGAGGGGACCAAUCUCCCCAUACCCAUCCCCGAUGUUUUGCAUAUGUCCCCGUCCCCUCCCCGUCCCCGUCAAAAUAGCUUGAGAGAAUCCUCAUCCCCUCCCCGAAUAAUAACAGAGGAUCCCCGAGGGUCCCCGGUCCCCGAAUAAUUAAUAGUCUAAUACAUUUUUUUAUUUUCGAUUUUAAAUUAAUCAUAUUAAAAUAAACUCAUACCGCUAUUGUAAGCUCGUAACCAACUUUGACAGCACAUUAAGGCCUCCAAUGUGCUUGGAUGAAGUUUGUUAUGGUAUGAGCUCACAACUCUACCACUAGUGUUAAAAGCUGAUUCAGAAGCAACUGUUGUAAUUGGAAUUGCCAAAAUAUCUCUAGCAAUUCGAGCUAAUGUAGGAUACCUAUUAGCAUUUGUCUUCCACCAACUCAAAAUAUUAAAAUCUUCCAUCCGAGAUAUAACUUUCUCAUCUAAAUAUGAAUCUAAUUCAUCUACAACAACUGCACAAUCUCCAUUGUUUACAUAAUCAUCAAAACCUGUCAUCCAUUUGGUUGCUUUCUUAUAAGAAUCCCCUGUAGAUCUAGUAGAAGAACUACUACCAGUAUAAUCAAAGCAAUAAACAGUUGGUGAAAAUUUCAAUUAAUACUCUUCAACUAAUUCCCGGCAAAGGGUGACCACUUUCCCAACAUACAACUAUUUUGAUAUUUAUUAUUUUUAACAAUAUUUAUAAUUUUGUUAUUUAUUUAUUAGUAAUUUUAAAAAUAAAAAUAAAAUUAAAAAUUAAAAUGGGGAAAUGGGUAGGGGAUGGGGAUUCCACCUCAUCCCCGUCCCCUCACCGAAUAAAAAGUUGGGUAAAAAAUUUUCCCCGUCCCCUCCCCGAAAAAAAAAGUGGGUAUAAAAUUAUCCCCGUACCCUCCCCGAAUGGGGAAAAUCCCCGAGGGUACCCAUCCCCGUGGGGAUUUUUGCCAUCCCUACCAAUAUUACUUACCUCAGGAAUAUUCUCAGGAGAUGGGCUUGCAGCGACCAAGAGGGGGGAUUCUUCUUCUUCGAAUGGUAUAGGCUCAACUGCCAAAGGUUCUUCUUCAGAUGGUAUAGGCUCAGCUGCCAGAGGUUCUUCUUCUGAUGGUGUGUCAUUCUGAUCCUCAAACCACUCAAAGGUUAGCCACUUCAGCUCUUCAUCUAGUGUCUCCCCCUGAAGAGGAGUAGUGGAUACCGAGGAAGGGUAAAAAGAAGCGGACUCCAAAAAAGUGACAUCCAUAGUCACAUAAGUACGCUGAGUAGUAGGGUCAUAGCAGCGGUAGCCUUUUUGGUGGGUAGCAUAGCCCAAGAAGAGGCACCGAAUGGCACAAGGGUCAAGUUUGUUACGCUGGUUCUUAUGAAGAUGAACAUACGCCACACAACCAAAGAUGCGGGGUGGGAGCAUGAGGGUAGAAGGUAGAGAGACCGAGGCUGACAAGGAUUGGAGUGGGGUUUGGAAAUGUAAGACCUUGGAUGGAAGGCGGUUGAUCAAAUGGACAGCAGUGGUAACAGCAUCGGGCCAAUGUCUUGUGGGAACAUGUGCGCCGAGAAGGAGGGCUCGGGCAGUUUCAAGAAUAUGUCGAUUUUUCCUUUCAGCUACCCCAUUUUGUUGUGGUGUCUGGGGACAUGAAGUUUCAUGAAUAAGGCCGUGGAGUUGAAAAUAAGAUUGAAAAUGGUGAUUGACAUAUUCUCCACCAUUGUCAGAACGAAGGAUUCGAAUCUGAGCUGAAAACUGAGUCUGAAUCAUAGCAUGAAAUGACUGAAAAACCUUAAAUACUUCAUCCUUAUGUUUCAGCAAAUAUAGCCAGGUCAUGCGUGUGCAAUCAUCAACAAAUAUUACAAACCAACGUACACCAGAGACAAUAGACACGGGGGAUGGUCCCCAUACAUCGGAAUGUAUUAAAGCAAAAGGAAUGUCACUUUUAUUCAUGCUUAAAGAAUAAGUAGCCCUAUGACUCUUGGCUAAAAUACAAGUAUCACAGUUUAACUCAGAAGUUUCUACAUCAGAAAAUAAAUCAGGAAACAAAUGCCUUAGAUACCCGAAUGAUGGAUGUCCCAAACGGCGAUGCCACAACCAAAUCUGUCGAGUCUUGGAACUUAGUGAAGAAGACACGUGAUGAGCUCUCCCCAUACUGAAAUCUUCCAUGUAGUAUAAUCCCCCCCUCUUAGUACCACGCCCAAUUAUCUCCUUGGUGAGAAUAUCCUGUAUAAGACAAAAAUCAGCAAACAUGAGUACCACACAAUUCAGGUCUGUGGUAAUUUGACUCACAGAUAGUAACUUGUGGGAUAAUGAGGGAACAAGUAAAGUGUUGAAUAAUUGAAGAGAGGGUGAUAAUGUCACAGAACCAGCUCCUGUGACAGGAGAGACCACUCCAUUGGCAUUUGCAAUGCUAGUGCGCCGUGGGGAUGAAUCGUGAAAAAGAUUCGCAGGAUCAAAGGUCAUAUGAUCUGUGGCCCCAGAGUCAAGUAACCAAUUAUCACGAUUGGUAUUGCAGUGAGAACUAAUUAAGGCAUGACAGGGAUUACCUGGAUCCACAGAAGAAAAAUUCUGUUGAGGAAUUAGAGAAAGACACGGUUCGACUACUGCUACAGCAGCCUUGCCUAUGCCUGUACUUGUACCAGCAGUGUCUUGUUUCUUUCGGGCUUGGAGUUCAUGCCACCAGUCCGGAUAUCCAUGCAGUUGGAAGCAAUUUUCCCGUGUGUGCUUCAUAUUGCCACAAUGAGUGCAUUUUAAUCCGUCAGAUGAUGAUCGACCUUUAGAGCCAGAUUUUCCAGCAUGCUGUGGGUUCGAUCCAUGGAUCCCAAGCUUGAGGCCUCUCGAAGCAAGCACUGCUCCUAGAGGGGGUUCAUGGUCACCUACGUUCAUCACCAUCUGACGAAGAGCCUCUCUACGGACAUAAGCAUAAGCUUGCUCUAUGGUGGGAAACGGCUGUAGAUGUAGCACGUCACUUCGGAUGUUAUCCAGCUUGUCGUCAAGACCAUCCAAAAAAACGUAGACCCGAUCUUCCUAGAGGAGAUUAUUAUACCUUUGAAUAUCAGCAGGGCAUUCCAUUGGAUUUGGACGUCGAAAAUCAAUUUCACGCCAAAGACCUUGCAAGUCAGUGUAAUAUUUUUCCAGGGAUCCACCUGCUUGACGGAGACGUGAAACACGGCGCCGGAGAUCAUAAACCUGGGAUGUAUCACCACCAUCAAAAUAGGUGGUGGCAGCAGAGUCCCACACUUGUUUGGCUGUGGGAAACCGAAUAAAGUUUCCAAUUAACGUCGGAUCCAUGGAGUUGAUAAGCCAUCCUUUGACAAUGGCGUUGUCGGUGCGCCAUUUGCGAAAGGACGGGUCGGUAAGGGAUGGCGGGGUCAGUUCGCCGUUAAUGUAGCCCAACUUGUCUUUGCCGGAGAUGUACAUCUCGACAACUUGGGACCACAAGCCAUAGUUGGAGCUAUCCAACUUGAUGCCAAUCGGUAGAGCUGCAGGUUCUGAGGUCACGGUUGGGGCCUGGGCUUUGGAUAGAGCUUCGGCCAUCUUGGAGGUGAGUAAUUCAGAGAGAAUCCGGUCGGUGGUGGAUUCCUCUGUCUGGAUUGGUGUUUCGGUGGCUUCCAUAGGUAGAUACGAGGCUAAAUCUUAGGACUGGGCGUGAACAAGGGACCAGGUCGUAACUUGCUCUGAUACCAUGUCAAUUUGUUUCAGUAUAUUUUCCAUUCCUCAAGUUACAGAGGUAUUGUAUACAUUUAUAGAGAGAUUUGCUACGUUAUUUUUGGGCUAUACAGAUUUUUAGUGCUAGAAUAUUCCUGAAAUCUCUCUGAUUUGGUUAACUCCUAUAAUCUCUCUGAUUUAUCUCUUAAUUUACAACUCACGCCAACAGGUCUCACUGUCUCUGUCCCCUAAAUCCACAGUGGUGUUGCUCUCUCAUCCUGUGAUUUCAGCUGCGUUGCUCUCUCUCCCCCAAUACAAUCGGCUUGUUAAGGUUAGUUGCUUCAAUUCAUUACCCUAAUUUUUAAUUUGGUUUUUCAGGGUUUUGAAUUCCAUAAUCCCAAAUUCUAUAUUCUAGAUUAUAUUGCUCAUUGUUUCAAUAGAUUUAAAAAAAAAAAUCGAUUGAGUGUGACAAAUCAAGGAUUUACUCUAUGAUAAUUGUUAGAAGUAUGAACCUGAAUUAGAAUACAAGAACAAACAAUGAUGUAGGUUAUAGCUGUGAAGCAUGUGACAACUUGUCACUUGUAACUC
rnacentral:lncRNA from 1 species